UACGUAGGGGGCAAGCGUUAUCCGGAUUUACUGGGUGUAAAGGGAGCGUAGACGGAAUUGCAAGUCUGAUGUGAAAAUCCGGGGCCCAACCCCGGAACUGCAUUGGAAACUGUAUUUCUAGAGUGUCGGAGAGGCAAGUGGAAUUCCGUGUGUAGCGGUGAAAUGCGUAGAUAUACGGAGGAACACCAGUGGCGAAGGCGGCCUGCUGGACAUUAACUGACGCUGAGGCGCGAAAGCGUGGGGAGCAAACAGG
rnacentral:rRNA from 1 species